UACGUAGGGUGCGAGCGUUGUCCGGAAUUACUGGGCGUAAAGAGCUCGUAGGUGGUUUGUCGCGUUGUUCGUGAAAACCGGGGGCUUAACCCUCGGCGUGCGGGCGAUACGGGCAGACUUGAGUACUGCAGGGGAGACUGGAAUUCCUGGUGUAGCGGUGGAAUGCGCAGAUAUCAGGAGGAACACCGGUGGCGAAGGCGGGUCUCUGGGCAGUAACUGACGCUGAGGCACGAAAGCGUGGGGAGCAAACAGG
rnacentral:rRNA from 1 species